UUUAUAAUUUUAAAUUUCGCCAAAUUAACUUAAAUAAAAACUUUUUCUUAUUGAUAAAUAAAAGGUUUUAAACAAGGCAAAUCAUGAUAACAUAAAAGUGAUAACAUUCUGUGAAUUUAGGCAUCUCGCUUAAGAACGGGGAAACUUUAGUGAGUUUACAAAUGCUAAAUUUACGUCUACACCUAAGAUUGGCUGUGCGGGCAUUUCAAGAUAACCGAAUCGAUCAGUCCCACUAUAAAGUGAUUGCUGAAGGUUUUUCGCUUGACCUAUUCUCUCUUUGAAGAUCCGAUGACAUCUGCCUUGAUCAAGACUUUGGCGGUCACAACCCAAAACCUCAUGGCUUCUUCACAUUCACAUAAAUCGACACCGGGAUGUUUGGAAGUUACUUAUGGACGAUAGAGAACGCUGCUCUCCUAUCACUUAUCCGACCGCAUUCCAGAAACGGAACCGAAGAACGAGAAAUGUACAGUAUGUCGUUCUUUCUACAUUACGGGUUCCUCCUAUGGUUUUCGAAGGACUGCAUUAAUAAGGC